ACGGCUCAGUAACACGUGGAUAACCUGCCCAAGGGUCUGGGAUAACCCCGGGAAACUGGGGAUAAUACCGGAUGGAUCACUAGUGCUGGAAUGCUUGGUGGUCGAAAGGUAACGCCUUUGGAUGGGUCUGCGGCGGAUUAGGUUGACGCCGGUGUAACGUACCGGCGUGCCUGUAAUCCGUACGGGUUGUGGGAGCAAGAGCCCGGAGAUGGAUUCUGAGACACGAAUCCAGGCCCUACGGGGCGCAGCAGGCGCGAAAACUCUACAAUGCAGGCAACUGCGAUAGGGGAACAUCGAGUGGCGUCCAUAUUGGAUGUCUGUCCACCCGCCUAAAAAGCGGGUGUUAGCAAGGGCCGGGCAAGACCGGUGCCAGCCGCCGCGGUAAUACCGGCGGCUCGAGUGGUGGCCGAUAUUAUUGAGUCUAAAGGGUCCGUAGCCGGCUUUGCAAGUCUCUCGGGAAAUCCAGCGGCUUAACCGUUGGUCGUCCGGGGGGUACUACAUUGCUUGGGACUGGGAGAGGUAGGAGGUACUCAGGGGGUAGGAGUGAAAUCCUGUAAUCCUUUGGGGACCACCGGUGGCGAAGGCGUCCUACCAGAACAGGUCCGACGGUGAGGGACGAAAGCUAGGGGCACGAACCGGAUUAGAUACCCGGGUAGUCCUAGCCGUAAACGAUGCUCGCUAGGUGUCACAACAGUCGUGAACUGUUGUGGUGCCGUAGGGAAGCCGUGAAGCGAGCCACUUGGGAAGUACGACCGCAAGGUUGAAACUUAAAGGAAUUGGCGGGGGAG
rnacentral:rRNA from 1 species